rnacentral:lncRNA from 1 species
CAGACCCCAGAAUGGUGGAUUCACUGACAGAUUGCACUGUGUGUCUGGAAAAGCUGCAGACACUCAAUGCCAACCCAUGAAAGGAACCAGGAGGGGGUUUAUACCCUACAAAGCCACAGGAAUGGAGCUGUGGCCUUUUUUCUCCCAAGGUCAUGGGAGCCCACCUCUUACAUCAGCAUGACCUGCAUGUGAGACAUGGAGUCAAAGGAGAUCAUUUUGGAGCUUUGAGAUUUGACUGCCCCACUGGAUUUUGGGCUUGCAUGGGGCCUGUAACCCCUUUGUUUUGGCAAUUUAUCCCAUUUGGAAUGACUGUGUUUACCCAAUGCCUAUACCCCCCAUUGUAUCUAGGAAGUAACUAACUUGUUUUUGAUUUUACAUGCUCAUAGGCAGAAGGGAUUUGCCUUGUCU